UACGUAGGGGGCAAGCGUUGUCCGGAAUCAUUGGGCGUAAAGAGCGUGUAGGCGGCCAGAUAAGUCCGCUGUGAAAUCUCGAGGCUCAACUUCGAGCUGUCGGUGGAAACUGUCUGGCUAGAGUCCGGAAGAGGAGAAUGGAAUUCCUGGUGUAGCGGUGAAAUGCGCAGAUAUCAGGAAGAACACCCGUGGCGAAGGCGGUUCUCUGGGACGGUACUGACGCUCAUGCACGAAAGCGUGGGGAGCAAACAGG
rnacentral:rRNA from 1 species